rnacentral:rRNA from 1 species
AACGAACGCUGGCGGCAUACCUAACACAUGCAAGUCGAACGAAGCCUUCGGGCUUAGUGGCGCACGGGUGCGUAACGCGUGGGAAUCUGCCCUUGGGUUCGGAAUAACAGUUAGAAAUGACUGCUAAUACCGGAUGAUGUCUUCGGACCAAAGAUUUAUCGCCCAAGGAUGAGCCCGCGUAGGAUUAGGUAGUUGGUGGGGUAAUGGCCCACCAAGCCGACGAUCCUUAGCUGGUCUGAGAGGAUGAUCAGCCACACUGGGACUGAGACACGGCCCAGACUCCUACGGGAGGCAGCAGUGGGGAAUAUUGGACAAUGGGCGAAAGCCUGAUCCAGCAAUGCCGCGUGCAGGAUGAAGGCCUUCGGGUUGUAAACUGCUUUUGUCCGGAAAGAAAAGCGCCGGGUUAAUACCCUAGUGUCCUGACGGUACCGGAAGAAUAAGCACCGGCUAACUUCGUG